AUUCAAGGCUCAUCUCCACAGGACUCGCCCCCGGGGUCUCCGAGGAGACGGUCCAGGUGACCUGAACAUCCUGGCAAGAUGGGCUGGUCCGGAAGGGCCCUGCAGGGAGUCCUGCCGGAGCCUGGAGCACCCGUGGCAUCCGGACAGGCUUCCUGGAGGAGAGGCUCCGUUUCUACAUCUGUAAGAUGGCACGAUGACCCCUGGUCUGCAAGACGUUGUGAAGAUUGGAGACAAGGGCUGAAUAGAAGAGGGGAGAAUGGACACGCGGACCCCGAUUCCUUCUCAGGAGGAGAGCAGCGAACCCUUCGCCACCGAAGGUAGGCUGCCGUGGAGCGGUUACGUUUUUCUUAGACGCCCUUUAUCAGGCUGAGAAACUUCCUUUCUCUUCCUAAGUGUACAGAGUCUCUUAUUAGAAUUAGCAUUGAGUUUUGUCAAAAUUUUUUACAUCUGUUAAGAUAAUUAUAUGUUUUUUCUCUUUUAGUCUGUGAGCAUGC